rnacentral:rRNA from 1 species
UACGGGGGGGGGCAAGCGUUGUUCGGAAUUACUGGGCGUAAAGGGCGCGUAGGCGGCCAACUAAGUCGGAUGUGAAAUCCCCAGGCUCAACCUGGGAACUGCAUCCGAUACUGGAUGGCUUGAAUCCGGGAGAGGGAUGCAGAAUUCCAGGUGUAGCGGUGAAAUGCGUAGAUAUCUGGAGGAAUACCGGUGGCGAAGGCGGCAUCCUGGACCGGCAUUGACGCUUGAGGAGCGAAAGCCAGGGGAGGCAAACGGG